rnacentral:lncRNA from 1 species
UUUAAAGGGUUUUAUGCCCUCAACGUUUCAUAUAUCUAGGCUGCAUUAAUCUGCUUUCAUUUCACAACAUUACUUGCAUUCUAAGAUUGAACAUUAGGAUUGAAAAUGACAAUUGUAUCUAUAAGAAAACAAACCCAAGAUCACUUUUUACAAAAGCAUUAAGUUUAUGCAUGUUUCCUUCCAUAGACUUGAAUUUAUAAUAUUUGAACUGCUCAUGAAAAGACAUCAGAUUAGUGCAUCAGUAUACAAAAAUGGGAAAUGUGCAACUGCUGCACGUAUAUACAAGUCAACAUCAGAAGAUGAGCUGCCUCACUAGCAACAUUAAAACCUUCAUGUGCAAUCCCUCUGUGCAUAAAUGAAGCUAGGAAAAAGAAAAUCUGAAAAAUAAGCCUUAAUAAAUUUUUAGCAUUGAAUUUAAUCACUAUUCUUAUUGCAGUAAUAGGAAACUUUCUACAACACUAUUGCAGGUUCUAAAAAGAGUCGUUGGCUUGUGCUUUAUGCAAAUUAUAAUUAAUAAGAAUUCAUUCAAAAACA